rnacentral:rRNA from 1 species
UACGUAGGGGGCAAGCGUUGUCCGGAUUUAUUGGGCGUAAAGAGCGUGUAGGCGGUUUGGUAGGUCCGUUGUGAAAACUCGAGGCUCAACCUCGAGACGCCGAUGGAAACCAUCAGACUAGAGUCCGGAAGAGGAGAGUGGAAUUCCUGGUGUAGCGGUGAAAUGCGUAGAUAUCGGAAGGAACACCAGUGGCGAAAGCGGCUUCCUGGUCCAGCACCGACGUUCAGGCACGAAAGCGUGGGGAGCAAACAGG